rnacentral:rRNA from 1 species
AUUGAACGCUGGCGGCAUGCCUUACACAUGCAAGUCGAACGGCAGCACGGGGCAACCUGGUGGCGAGUGGCAAACGGGUGAGUAAUGCAUCGGAACGUGCCAUUGAGUGGGGGAUAACGUAGCGAAAGUUGCGCUAAUACCGCAUAUUCUGUGAGCAGGAAAGCAGGGGACCGCAAGGCCUUGCGCUCUUUGAGCGGCCGAUGUCAGAUUAGCUAGUUGGUGAGGUAACGGCUUACCAAGGCGACGAUCUGUAGCGGGUCUGAGAGGAUGAUCCGCCACACUGGAACUGAGACACGGUCCAGACUCCUACGGAGGCAGCAGUGGGAAUUUUGGACAAUGGGCGCAAGCCUGAUCCAGCCAUGCCGCGUGAGUGAAGAA